rnacentral:rRNA from 1 species
CAACCAAAGCUGGCGACCGGCGCACGGGUGAGUAACACGUAUCCAACCUGCCUCAUACUCGGGGAUAGCCUUUCGAAAGAAAGAUUAAUAUCCGAUAGCAUAUAUUUCCCGCAUGGGUUUUAUAUUAAAGAAAUUCGGUAUGAGAUGGGGAUGCGUUCCAUUAGUUUGUUGGGGGGUAACGGCCCGCCAAGACUACGAUGGAUAGGGGUUCUGAGAGGAAGGUCCCCCACAUUGGAACUGAGACACGGUCCAA